AAAUUGAAGAGUUUGAUCAUGGCUCAGAUUGAACGCUGGCGGCAGGCCUAACACAUGCAAGUCGAGCGGUAGCACAGAGAGCUUGCUCUCGGGUGACGAGCGGCGGACGGGUGAGUAAUGUCUGGGAAACUGCCUGAUGGAGGGGGAUAACUACUGGAAACGGUAGCUAAUACCGCAUAAUGUCGCAAGACCAAAGUGGGGGACCUUCGGGCCUCAUGCCAUCAGAUGUGCCCAGAUGGGAUUAGCUAGUAGGUGGGGUAACGGCUCACCUAGGCGACGAUCCCUAGCUGGUCUGAGAGGAUGACCAGCCACACUGGAACUGAGACACGGUCCAGACUCCUACGGGAGGCAGCAGUGGGGAAUAUUGCACAAUGGGCGCAAGCCUGAUGCAGCCAUGCCGCGUGUGUGAAGAAGGCCUUCGGGUUGUAAAGCACUUUCAGCGGGGAGGAAGGCGGUGAGGUUAAUAACCUCAUCGAUUGACGUUACCCGCAGAAGAAGCACCGGCUAACUCCGUGCCAGCAGCCGCGGUAAUACGGAGGGUGCAAGCGUUAAUCGGAAUUACUGGGCGUAAAGCGCACGCAGGCGGUCUGUCAAGUCGGAUGUGAAAUCCCCGGGCUCAACCUGGGAACUGCAUUCGAAACUGGCAGGCUAGAGUCUUGUAGAGGGGGUAGAAUUCCAGGUGUAGCGGUGAAAUGCGUAGAGAUCUGGAGGAAUACCGGUGGCGAAGGCGGCCCCCUGGACAAAGACUGACGCUCAGGUGCGAAAGCGUGGGGAGCAAACAGGAUUAGAUACCCUGGUAGUCCACGCCGUAAACGAUGUCGAUUUGGAGGUUGUGCCCUUGAGGCGUGGCUUCCGGAGCUAACGCGUUAAAUCGACCGCCUGGGGAGUACGGCCGCAAGGUUAAAACUCAAAUGAAUUGACGGGGGCCCGCACAAGCGGUGGAGCAUGUGGUUUAAUUCGAUGCAACGCGAAGAACCUUACCUGGUCUUGACAUCCACAGAACUUUCCAGAGAUGGAUUGGUGCCUUCGGGAACUGUGAGACAGGUGCUGCAUGGCUGUCGUCAGCUCGUGUUGUGAAAUGUUGGGUUAAGUCCCGCAACGAGCGCAACCCUUAUCCUUUGUUGCCAGCGGUCCGGCCGGGAACUCAAAGGAGACUGCCAGUGAUAAACUGGAGGAAGGUGGGGAUGACGUCAAGUCAUCAUGGCCCUUACGACCAGGGCUACACACGUGCUACAAUGGCAUAUACAAAGAGAAGCGACCUCGCGAGAGCAAGCGGACCUCAUAAAGUAUGUCGUAGUCCGGAUUGGAGUCUGCAACUCGACUCCAUGAAGUCGGAAUCGCUAGUAAUCGUAGAUCAGAAUGCUACGGUGAAUACGUUCCCGGGCCUUGUACACACCGCCCGUCACACCAUGGGAGUGGGUUGCAAAAGAAGUAGGUAGCUUAACCUUCGGGAGGGCGCUUACCACUUUGUGAUUCAUGACUGGGGUGAAGUCGUAACAAGGUAACCGUAGGGGAACCUGCGGUUGGAUCACCUCCUUA
rnacentral:rRNA from 1 species